rnacentral:rRNA from 1 species
UACGGAGGGUGCAAGCGUUGCUCGGAAUUAUUGGGCGUAAAGGGUAGGUAGGUGGUCUGAUUUGUCUCAUGUGAAAGCCUUGAGCCUAACUCAAGAAGUGCGUGAGAAACGGUCAGACUAGAGUACUGGAGAGGCUAGUGGAAUUCCCGGUGUAGCGGUGAAAUGCGUAGAGAUCGGGAGGAACACCAGAGGCGAAGGCGGCUAGCUGGACAGUAACUGACACUCAACUACGAAAGCGUGGGGAGCAAACAGG